GCCAGGCGUGGUGGCACACGCCUGUAGUCCCAGCUACUCGGGAGGCUGAGGCAGGAGAAUCACUUGAACCUGGAAGGUGGAGGUUGCAGUGAGCUGAGAUUGCACCACUGCACUCCAUCCUGGGUGAUAGAGUGAGACUUUGUCUCAAAAAAAAAAAAAAAAAAAAUUUGAGACAGCAUCUUACUCUGGCUUAGACUGGAGUGCAGUGCAGUGGUGGAGUCAUAGCUCACUGUAACCUGGAACUGCUGGGUUCAAGUGAUCUUCCUGC
rnacentral:lncRNA from 1 species